GAUGAACGCUGGCGGCGUGCCUAAUACAUGCCAGUCGAGCGAACAGACGAGGAGCUUGCUCCUCUGACGUUAGCGGCGGACGGGUGAGUAACACGUGGAUAACCUACCUAUAAGACUGGGAUAACUUCGGGAAACCGGAGCUAAUACCGGAUAAUAUAUUGAACCGCAUGGUUCAAUAGUGAAAGACGGUUUUGCUGUCACUUAUAGAUGGAUCCGCGCCGCAUUAGCUAGUUGGUAAGGUAACGGCUUACCAAGGCAACGAUGCGUAGCCGACCUGAGAGGGUGAUCGGCCACACUGGAACUGAGACACGGUCCAGACUCCUACGGGAGGCAGCAGUAGGGAAUCUUCCGCAAUGGGCGAAAGCCUGACGGAGCAACGCCGCGUGAGUGAUGAAGGUCUUCGGAUCGUAAAACUCUGUUAUUAGGGAAGAGCAAAUGUGUAAGUAACUAUGCACGUCUUGACGGUACCUAAUCAGAAAGCCACGGCUAACUACGUG
rnacentral:rRNA from 1 species